UACGGAGGGGGCAAGCGUUGUUCGGAAUUACUGGGCGUAAAGGGCGCGCAGGCGGCUGCUCAAGUCAGGCGUGAAAGGCCUGGGCUCAACCCGGGAAUUGCGCUUGAGACUGGGCUGGCUUGAGUGCGGGAGAGGAUGGUGGAAUUCCCAGUGUAGAGGUGAAAUUCGUAGAUAUUGGGAAGAACACCGGUGGCGAAGGCGGCCAUCUGGACCGCAACUGACGCUGAGGCGCGAAAGCGUGGGGAGCGAGCCGG
rnacentral:rRNA from 1 species